GCCUCAGUGGCAUAUGUCUGUAGUCCCAGCUACUUGAGAGGCUGAGGCUGGAGGAUAGCUUAAAUCCAGGAGUACUGGGCUGUAGUGCAUUAUGCCGAAGUGGGUGUCCGCACUAAGUUCGGCAUCAAUAUGGUGACCUCCCGGGACCACCAGGUUGCCUAAGGAGGGGUGAACCAGCCGAGGUCAGAAACGGAGCAGGUCGAAACUCCCAUGCUGAUCAGUAGUAGGAUCAUGCCUGUGAAUAGCCACUGCACUCCAGCCUGAGCAACAUGGCAAGAUCUCAUCUCUU
rnacentral:SRP_RNA from 1 species